GACGAACGCUGGCGGCGUGCUUAACACAUGCAAGUCGAACGAUGAAGCCGGAGCUUGCUCUGGUGAAUUAGUGGCGAACGGGUGAGUAACACGUGAGUAACCUGCCCUUGACUCUGGGAUAACUGCUAGAAAUGGUAGCUAAUACCGGAUACGACCCUCGGAGGCAUCUCCAGGGGGUGGAAAGAAUUUCGGUCAAGGAUGGACUCGCGGCCGAUCAGCCAGUUGGUGAGGUAACGGCUCACCAAGGCGACGACGGGUAGCCGGCCUGAGAGGGUGACCGGCCACACUGGGACUGAGACACGGCCCAGACUCCUACGGGAGGCAGCAGUGGGGAAUAUUGCACAAUGGGCGCAAGCCUGAUGCAGCAACGCCGCGUGAGGGAUGACGGCCUUCGGGUUGUAAACCUCUUUUAGUAGGGAAGAAGCGAAAGUGACGGUACCUGCAGAAAAAGCACCGGCUAACUACGUGCCAGCCGCCGCAGUAAAAC
rnacentral:rRNA from 1 species